GGUUUUGCAGUCUACUGAGUCUGCUUGACUUUUUUGUGCAAUUCUUUUCCUACUUAUAUCUUAUAAGUUUUCUUUCUGCAUAUUUAGAUAGGGAGCAGCUUCUGCAGUGUAAGAGAUAUGAACACUGAAGCGAACAAUUAUCUCCAAACUAUCUCAACAAUUAUGUCAAGAUUCUAUCCACGAAUGAAAAUGGGCCAGAUACUUGCUUUUCUUGAAGUUAAGCCUGGCUAUGGGACAUUUGCAUAUGAUUUCCAUAUUUUGAAGAAUGCAAAACCUUCUACAGAAGAUAAAGUGGUAAGUAUUGUUUAAACCAUUUUGGAUAACACAAAUAAAGUUCUAUAUGCUCAGGCAAAGUCUUUGUGAUUUAUGAGAUAUAUUUGAUUUCAGUGGAAAUGUUUUACCAAGGUUCCUAUAUUUAUAAUCCUCUUUGCUCGACCUAAUUUAAUUGGGAAACAUUCUGCUAUGUGACAAACCCACCAAA